rnacentral:rRNA from 1 species
GUGCCUAACACAUGCAAGUCGAACGGGAAGCCGGUUUCGAUCGGUGGAGAGUGGCGCACGGGUGAGUAACACGUAGCUUACCUAGCUCCGAGACCGGGAUAACGCCCCGAAAGGGGUGCUAAUACCGGAUAAGCUCACGAUCUGUAGAGGGUCGUGAGAAAAAGUUCAGGCGCUUGGAGAUGGGGCUGCGGCCCAUCAGGUAGUUGGUGUGGUAAAGGCGCACCAAGCCGAAGACGGGUAGGGGGCCUGAGAGGGUGACCCCCCACACUGGGACUGAGACACAGCCCAGACUCCUACGGGAGGCAGCAGUGAGGAAUAUUGCCCAAUGGACGCAAGUCUGAGGCAGCAACGCCGCGUGGGUGAUGAAGGGUUUCGGCUCGUAAAGCCCUUUUCUGUGUGACGAUNAUGACGGUAGCACAGGAAUAAGCGUCGGCUAACUACGUGCCAGCAGCCGCGGUAAAACGUAGGACGCAAGCGUUAUCCGGAAUUACUGGGCGUAAAGCGCGUGUAGGCGGAUGGUUAAGUCAGCCGUGAAAGCUCCCGGCUAAACUGGGAGAGGUCGGUUGAAACUGGUCAUCUAGAGUGCGAUAGAGGGGUGUGGAAUUCCGCGUGUAGUGGUGAAAUGCGUAGAUAUGCGGAGGAACACCAGUGGCGAAGGCGGCACCCUGGGUCGCAACUGACGCUGAGACGCGAAAGCAUGGGUAGCGAACGGGAUUAGAAACCCCGGUAGUCCAUGCCGUAAACGAUGCACACUAGAUGUUCGCAGCGCUACGGUGUUGUGAGUGUCGCAGCCAACGCGAUAAGUGUGCCGCCUGGGGAGUACGGUCGCAAGGCUAAAACUCAAAGGAAUUGACGGGGGCCCGCACAAGCAGCGGAGCGUGUGGUUUAAUUCGAGGCUACGCGAAGAACCUUACCUGGGUUUGACAUACAGGUGGUAGCGAACCGAAAGGGGAGCGACCUUCGGGAGCCUGUACAGGUGCUGCAUGGCUGUCGUCAGCUCGUGUCGUGAGAUGUUCGGUUAAGUCCGAAAACGAGCGCAACCCCUGCGGCUAGUUACAAGUGUCUAGCGGGACUGCCGGCGGCAAGCCGGAGGAAGGUGGGGAUGACGUCAAGUCAGCAUGGCCUUUAUAUCCAGGGCUACACACACGCUACAAUGGCGCGUACAAUGGGUCGCGAAACCGCGAGGUGGAGCCAAUCCUGCAAAGCGCGUCCCAGUUCGGAUUGUAGGCUGCAACUCGCCUGCAUGAAGUCGGAGUUGCUAGUAACCGCGCAUCAGCCACGGUGCGGUGAAUACGUUCCCGGGCCUUGUACACACCGCCCGUCACGUCAUGGGAGCUGGUCACGCCUGAAGUCGG